AUUGAACGCUGGCGGCAGGCCUAACACAUGCAAGUCGAACGAGUGGCGGACGGGUGAGUAAUGUCUGGGAAACUGCCUGAUGGAGGGGGAUAACUACUGGAAACGGUAGCUAAUACCGCAUACCAUCAGAUGUGCCCAGGUGGGAUUAGCUAGUUGGUGGGGUAACGGCUCACCUAGGCGACGAUCCCUAGCUGGUCUGAGAGGAUGACCAGCGACACGGGAACGAGUAAACGGUCCAGACUCCGACGGGAGGCAGCAGUGGGGGAUAUUGCACAAUGGGCGCAAGCCGGAUGCAGCCAUGCCGCGGGUGUGAAGAAGGCCUUCGGGUUGUAAAGCACUUUCAGCGGGGAGGCGGUACCCGCAGAAGAAGCACCGGCUAACUCCGUGCCAGCAGCCGCGGUAAUAC
rnacentral:rRNA from 1 species